AAUUGACCCUCGAUGAGAUGAGAUCUAAUUAUUUNCCUCUCACCAGUUCAUGGUGUUAGGUUUACGUGGAAGUAUUGCCCAUUCUCAUUGAAUGCUUCGGCCUUUCCCGUUGAAGUCAUGGGUUGGUACUAGUUCCCUCGGAAACAGAACUUUGAAGGGUGCGCAGCAUGUUGCUGUUGUCUACCCCCUAAGCGUUCGUCGCUUGAUGCGUAAGACGGUUGCGCCCGUCUUGAUCCCCUCAUCAAGUAGAUUGGAUGGGGCUCAUGCGGUGCCGACGUCGCGAAGGAAUGCUACCUGGUUGAUCCUGCC
rnacentral:misc_RNA from 1 species